UAGCUCAGUCGGUAAAGAAUCUGCCUGCAAAGCAGGAGACCCAGGUUUGAUCCCUGG
rfam:TPA: Bos taurus chromosome 26, whole genome shotgun sequence.